AAUAGAAAAUUUAUUAAUCUCCUUAAAAUAAAUUAGUAAUCAUUCUAAUAAAACUUAAAUUUCUUGUUAUAGUAAACUUAAUUAGGCAUGGCCGCUCAGCUGAAGCAGGUGAUCUCUCUCUGGUUUGGCCUCAGAUUCAGUGUCACCACCUUUUUCACCUGCAUAAUCACAGAUGAUGCAUUCGUUAGGUGAGUGUAUAGUACAAUAGAAUAAAUGGAGUACCAUCGAGUUAAAGGGAUGUAAUGUUGUUUCAAUAUACACACUGUUAGGAACAGUCACAAUCAUGCCCACCAGAUGUUUGAGAAAAUGUUAAGUGAGUAAGAAGCCCGUUUGUUUCAGAUAUCAAGGGUCAUGGUGGAGUAGAUACUGGAAAUAUUUUGCUUGCUUAGAUAGAUGGCUAUUGGGACCCUGAGUUUAUUGACAAUGGUUCGAUUUGAGAGUGGGAGUUUCAAUGGCCUACCUCCUCUUUGCUGCUCCAAGUUGUCACCACAUAGUCACAUCUCACUCACUAAGCCAUCUUGGAUUAUGAGAACAGAGUCAAAUGUUAAGAAGAAGAGAAAAGAAGCCGGAUCCGCAUUGUGUAGUAUGUGAGGAGAGUGGACGAGUCGAUUGCCACCAGUGUUGUGGGAAGGGAAGGACAAACCAGGUUCAUUUGGAAAUGCUCCCGAAAGGCAAAUGGCCAAAAUGGCGUAGAACUUGUGGCGGAAGCGGUCUUGGUUACUGCUCCCGUUGCCUUGGUACCGGAGAACAUAGGUAUAUUAUGGGAUUCCAUUUCAUGAACAGGGACGAUGAUAAAUCCCAAGAAAACAAGUCUUAGUCCCCCCCCCCUUUCUCUUCUAUCUUUUCUUUUGGGUAAUGAUAUUAGGGACAGAGAUAAUAGAUAAUGUGAUAGCAUAGGUGUAUUGUCUUUAAGUUGGAACUACUGUCUUUUUAUAACACAAUGUAGAAUCAUCAUUAAUAGAUUGUUCAA